rnacentral:rRNA from 1 species
AUACGGGGGGAGCAAGCGUUGUCCGGAAUUACUGGGCGUAAAGGGCGUGUAGGCGGCUUGAUAAGUCAGAUGUGAAAGCCUUCCGCUUAACGGAAGAACUGCAUUUGAAACUGUCGGGCUUGAGUGCGAGAGAGGGUAGUGGAAUUCCCAGUGUAGCGGUGAAAUGCGUAGAUAUUGGGAAGAACACCAGUAGCGAAGGCGGCUACCUGGCUCGUAACUGACGCUAAGGCGCGAAAGCGUGGGGAGCAAACAGGAUUAGAAACCCUGGUAGUCC